AUCCACUCCACUGGAGUCUAUUUUGUGAGCUUGGAAUAGGUACACUGGGCCUUGCUGUUCCUCAUCCCUCUUCUGAUGAAGUCCAGGAUAUGGGUGGUCUUCUGGGCUAUACAUACACUCUACUGGCUCAUGGACCUCUACAGGGAAGACACAGCAUCCGUUAUUGAAUCUUAUUCAAAUAACAAGGAAGCAUUUAAUAACUACUGUCAUACUUAGCACAGAAGAUAAAUGUAUACUACAUCUAUCAUGGGCAGCUGACUCCAUAGCAAAUACCUUUGAUGAGCACACAGCUGACCUGCUGAAUCCAGGAGUUACAGCAUAGCCUUGUACAGAAAUAAUAGCUCCGGUCAGCCAGCAGCACAGCUGCACAAGCAUAGUGUUAGCCCAAGGUAAGAAGUGCUCCUCAGAGAAGACCACUUCCCAUGCAAUGUGCACUACUGCACUGAGGCUAAUUGCAUGUUUGUGAGUGAAGACACUGUUGUUGACCAUCAUUAAUCUUGUAUUAGAGCAUUAGAUCUGUUCAGGUUAAAACUUCAUAGUAUUUAGCUGUCCAGUGUCUUUAUGCCUUGUGGUAAAAAUGGGUAUAAUUGUAAUACGUUUACUAGACAUAACUCAUUAAAUGAAUGAAUUGCUGAAUGAUGCUUCAUUAAAUGGA